rnacentral:rRNA from 1 species
GUAAUCGCGCAUCAGCCAUGGCGCGGUGAAUACGUUCCCGGGCCUUGUACACACCGCCCGUCAAGCCAUGGGAGCUGGGGUGCCUGAAGUGCGCUGCCGCAAGGAGCGCCCUAGGGUAAAACCGGUGACUGGGGCUAAGUCGUAACAAGGUACC